rnacentral:sRNA from 1 species
UUAAGCGGGAGAUUGACUGGAGUCAGAAUUACUUUGUGGUUUCUGGGACUCCUCGCUGAAUCCUCCACAAGAAAGAGGGAAGCCAGCAGAGCCCCCAAGAGACCGGGCCCCCGGAUCUCCCCUAGUCUCCAGCCUCAGGCCCACAGCCCAUGACGCAAACUGUGCCUGUGAAAUCGAGCUGUCGGUAGGAAAUGACCGCCUGUGGUUUGUGAAUCCUAUUUUCAUCGAGGACUGCAGCAGUGCCCUGCCCACCGACCAGCCACCUCUUGGAAACUGCCCUGCACGCCCCUUGCUGCCCACCUCUGAUGCUACCUCACCCACCUCCAGGUGGGCCCCACGCCGCCCACCACCCCCUCCCCCAGUGCUGCCCCUGCAGCCCUGCAGCCCAGCCCAGCCCCCUCUGCUCCCUGCUCUUGCCCCCGCCCCUGCCUGUCCUUUGCCCACCUCUCCCCCAGUGCCUGCCCCCACGUCACACCCCAUGCCCCAGGUCCCCCAGACCAUCUGAACCAGCCGCCCAUGACGACCUGCGAGAGACUCCCAUGCCCCACUGCAGGCCUGGGCCCCCUCAGGG